rnacentral:rRNA from 1 species
GACUACUGGGGUAUCUAAUCCUGUUCGAUCCCCACGCUUUCGUGCAUCAGCGUCAGUAACGGCCCAGCAAGCUGCCUUCGCUAUCGGUGUUCUGUGUAAUAUCUAAGCAUUUCACCGCUACAUUACACAUUCCGCCUGCCUUGACCAUACUCAAGAAAAACAGUAUCAAUGGCAAGUCUACAGUUAAGCUGCAGGGUUUCACCACUGACUUAUUAUUCCGCCUACGCACCCUUUAAACCCAAUAAAUCCGGAUAACGCUCGCAUCCUCCGUAUUACCGCGGCUGCUGGCACGGAGUUAGCCGAUGCUUAUUCUCAGGGUACCUUCAGUAUCGUAUACAUACAAUAUUUUAUCCCCCUGAAAAAGAAGUUUACAACGCAUAGCGCCUUCUUCCUUCACGCGGGAUGGCUGGUUCAGGCUCUCGCCCAUUGACCAAUAUUCCUCACUGCAGCCUCCCGUAGG